GGAGCUGGCAAAUGAGCUUUGAUCCGGAGAUAUCCGAAUGGGGAAACCCACCCGCAAGGGUAUCGCUAGCUGAAUACAUAGGCUAGCGAGGCGAACCGAGUGAACUGAAACAUCUAAGUAGCUCGAGGAAAAGACAUCAACCGAGAUUCCGAAAGUAGUGGCGAGCGAAAUCGGAACAGCCUAGUGCUCUUUAGCAGUCGACUUAUCAGAACGGAAUGGAAAGUCCGGCCAUAGUGGGUGAUAGCCCCGUAUGAGAAAAGUCUUCUGUGGAACUGAGUGCACGAUAAGUAGGGCGGGACACGUGAAAGCCUGUCUGAAGAUGGGGGGACCAUCCUCCAAGGGUAAAUACUCGUAAUCGACCG
rnacentral:rRNA from 1 species